AGUGUGACAUAUGUGGAGAAGAACCUCCUAGCUAAUCUUCCAUCCAUAAGUUUCAUUCAAAUUCACUUACAACCUGUUUUGUUUUACAAAGUUUGUUUUGUUUUCAAAUUCAUUAAAACCAAAAUCCCCCUUUUACUUUAUUGUUUCAAAGUGUUUAAUUUCUGUUUUGGUUGUGUGUUAGAGUGUUUUGAUUCACCCAAAUUUGUCUAAGAAUUUGUUUACUUUGUUUUUGUCUUAAUUUAAUUAUUUUCGUCGAAAAUCAACCCCAUCUUAUUUCUUUGAGUCAUAUUA
rnacentral:lncRNA from 1 species